GCCAGGUACUCAGCUAGUAAAUAAUAUAAUUGGAAUGUUACAGAAAAGAUAAGCAUGGUUCCUGCAAAAGUAUGACACACACAUUUAUAUGUAUCAGUCCUGC